CCGGUUCCUCUGGAGUUUCGGGGCGAAUUCCUAGAGCAUUCAUGAAACUAGGAUAGACGUGCAGGGCCAUUAAUGCACGGGCCUUAGAAAACACCUUAAGAAAGGUUGUGUGCUGGUUUGAGGAAAAUCUGAGAUAGAGUUCCAAGACUAAACGUCACUCUUGCUUAAUCAGGCUCUUACUGGCUACGUGAAGGUUCCAAGACUUAGCUCACCUUCGCUUAUGCACAAUCUUA
rnacentral:lncRNA from 1 species